GGUGCUCGAGUCUUUGGUGCUGCCUCUUUUCAAUCCCUCCCCCAAGGGGUGUCUGAGCAAGGUCACAGGGUCACCGCAACAUCUUGCUUCUAGAUGUGGGGGCUGUGGAUCCUGUGAUGGCGUGGGUCUCAACUCCGCUAGAAUCGGUGUAUUUUUUUUCCAUUGCCGCAGCUGUUUUUUGGGUUCCCGAUAUUUGCCUUUUGUUGCUGGUGGUGCAGCGGUGGAUCCUAAGUCAGUGCACCCUUUCGAACUCCUCUUCAUGCUUGCCCGCCUGUGCAUUUCGGCGUCCCCUCUUUGGUGACUUGUUCGGCUCUGAAGACAAAAUUGAAAGAUACAACACCACCAUGAAAUAAUGAAGAUCUCUGUAAAAGCAAAAGGCAGACAUCAGUUUGACCCGCACCAUGUCUUGAAGAUGCUGUUUUUCUUCCGGCAUGCCUAUGUGAUAGUCUCAAGGUCGUAAUAGAACAGAACAUUCUACUUACCUGUGGGAGUUACUGUUGUUCCAUGGGAUGGAAUCUAGGGCUGAAC